UACAGAGGCCUCAAGCGUUGUUCGGAUUCAUUGGGCGUAAAGGGUGCGUAGGCGGCGCGGUAAGUCGGGUGUGAAAUCUUGGAGCUUAACUCCGAAACUGCAUUCGAUACUGCCGUGCUUGAGGACUGGAGAGGAGACUGGAAUUUACGGUGUAGCGGUGAAAUGCGUAGAUAUCGUAAGGAAGACCAGUGGCGAAGGCGGGUCUCUGGGACGGUACUGACGCUGAGACGCGAAAGCGUGGGGAGCAAACAGG
rnacentral:rRNA from 1 species